rnacentral:rRNA from 1 species
UUGCUGAAGGCAAUGGUUAACGGAGCGAAAGCGACGUUCAACCGCAAAACAAGCAGAGGGGGCUUAGUGGUGGGGUGACUGCGUACCUUUUGUAUAAUGGGUCAGCGACUUAUAUUCUGUAGCAAGGUUAACCGUAUAGGGGAGCCGGAGGGAAACCGAGUCUUAAUUGGGCGUUAAGUUGCAGGGUAUAGACCCGAAACCCGGUGAUCUAGCCAUGGGCAGGUUGAAGGUUGGGUAACACUAACUGGAGGACCGAACCGACUAAUGUUGAAAAAUUAGCGGAUGACCUGUGGCUGGGGGUGAAAGGCCAAUCAAACCGGGAGAUAGCUGGUUCUCCCCGAAAGCUAUUUAGGUAGCGCCUCGUGAAUUCAUCUCCGGGGGUAGAGCACUGUUUCGGCUAGGGGGCCAUCCCGGCUUACCAACCCGAUGCAAACUGCGAAUACCGGAGAAUGUUAUCACGGGAGACACACGGCGGGUGCUAACGUCCGUCGUGAAGAGGGAAACAACCCAGACCGCCAGCUAAGGUCCCAAAGUCAUGGUUAAGUGGGAAACGAUGUGGGAAGGCCCAGACAGCCAGGAUGUUGGCUUAGAAGCAGCCAUCAUUUAAAGAAAGCGUAAUAGCUCACUGGUCGAGUCGGCCUGCGCGGAAGAUGUAACGGGGCUAAACCAUGCACCGAAGCUGCGGCAGCGAACGUAUCACUUAAAGCGAUUCAGCGGGUUACGAUUGACGGAGCGAAGCGACGUCAAAGCGUAUACAAAGUCGAGUCGGUUUAAGGAUACGUUCGUUGGGUAGGGGAGCGUUCUGUAAGCCUGUGAAGGUGGCCUGUGAGGGUUGCUGGAGGUAUCAGAAGUGCGAAUGCUGACAUAAGUAACGAUAAAGCGGGUGAAAAGCCCGCUCGCCGGAAGACCAAGGGUUCCUGUCCAACGUUAAUCGGGGCAGGGUGAGUCGACCCCUAAGGCGAGGCCGAAAGGCGUAGUCGAUGGGAAACAGGUUAAUAUUCC